CAAGAAAAGACCUAAAGGCUUUUAGUAAUAUCUUAAUGCAUGUCUGUGCAACCAGCACCCAGUAUGAGGUGACUCCAGUUACCCAUUGAGCUGCAGGGAUGCUCUGGGACUACAGCUGGUAACAUUGUAGGAGCACCUGUAAUCCUAAAGAUUCCAUGCACAGUGGUAAAGUUGCUGAGGAUCAUACUGAAAGUUAAGAGAAACUGGAAUUGUUUUACCCUUCAGCACAAGACCCUGUGUUGCAUUGAAGUUCUGAAGAUUCAGGGAAGGAUUUUGGCACUGGUACUUCAUGGUUUCAAGGCAGUAAUUUGAGGUAUCAGUCAUAACGGCACAUUUCCUGAAAAUUAUGAUAUUUAAGUUUGGUUCUUCUACUUGUUCUCAAAUAAUGAAUAUACUCUUUC
rnacentral:lncRNA from 1 species